rnacentral:rRNA from 1 species
UAAUACGUAGGUGGCAAGCGUUGUCCGGAUUUAUUGGGCGUAAAGCGCGCGCAGGUGGUCCUUUAAGUCUGAUGUGAAAUCUUGCGGCUCAACCGCAAGCGGUCAUUGGAAACUGGGGGACUUGAGUGCAGAAGAGGAAAGCGGAAUUCCACGUGUAGCGGUGAAAUGCGUAGAGAUGUGGAGGAACACCAGUGGCGAAGGCGGCUUUCUGGUCUGUAACUGACGCUGAGGCGCGAAAGCGUGGGGAGCAAACAGGAUUAGAUACCCUGGUAGUCCACGCCGUAAACGAUGAGUGCUAAGUGUUGGAGGGUUUCCACCCUUCAGUGCUGCAGCUAACGCAUUAAGCACUCCGCCUGGGGAGUACGGUCGCAAGACUGAA